GAUGAACGCUGGCGGCGUGCCUAAUACAUGCAAGUCGAGCGAACGGACGAGAAGCUUGCUCCUCUGAUGUUAGCGGCGGACGGGUGAGUAACACGUGGAUAACCUACCUAUAAGACUGGGAUAACUUCGGGAAACCGGAGCUAAUACCGGAUAAUAUUUUGAACCGCAUGGUUCAAAAGUGAAAGACGGUCUUGCUGUCACUUAUAGAUGGAUCCGCGCUGCAUUAGCUAGUUGGUAAGGUAACGGCUUACCAAGGCAACGAUGCAUAGCCGACCUGAGAGGGUGAUCGGCCACACUGGAACUGAGACACGGUCCAGACUCCUACGGGAGGCAGCAGUAGGGAAUCUUCCGCAAUGGGCGAAAGCCUGACGGAGCAACGCCGCGUGAGUGAUGAAGGUCUUCGGAUCGUAAAACUCUGUUAUUAGGGAAGAACAAAUGUGUAAGUAACUGUGCACGUCUUGACGGUACCUAAUCAGAAAGCCACGGCUAACUACGUG
rnacentral:rRNA from 1 species